AUUGAACGCUGGCGGCAUGCUUUACACAUGCAAGUCGAACGGCAGCACGGGCUUCGGCCUGGUGGCGAGUGGCGAACGGGUGAGUAACACGUAUCCAACCUGCCGUUUACUCUUGGAUAGCCUUCUGAAAAGGAGAUUAAUACAAGAUAGUAUCAUGAGAUCACAUGUUCACAUGAUUAAAGAAUUUCGGUAAACGAUGGGGAUGCGUUCCAUUAGAUAGUAGGCGGGGUAACGGCCCACCUAGUCUACGAUGGAUAGGGGUUCUGAGAGGAAGGUCCCCCACACUGGUACUGAGACACGGACCAGACUCCUACGGGAGGCAGCAGUGAGGAAUAUUGGUCAAUGGACGCAAGUCUGAACCAGCCAAGUAGCGUGAAGGAUGAAGGUUCUAUGGAUUGUAAACUUCUUUUAUAUGGGAAUAAAACCACUUACGUGUAGGUGUCUGUAUGUACCAUAUGAAUAAGGACCGGCUAACUCCGUGCCAGCCGCCGCCGUAACAC
rnacentral:rRNA from 1 species